rnacentral:tRNA from 1 species
GCGGCGCGGUGGGGCGCCGGUCGGCCUCGGCCGGGACGGGCGGCACGGUGUCGGGUUCGGCCGCCCGGGGCGCCGUGCC